rnacentral:rRNA from 1 species
CCUACGGGAGGCAGCAGUGAGGAAUAUUGGUCAAUGGGCGCGAGCCUGAACCAGCCAAGCCGCGUGAGGGAUGAAGGUACUCUGGAUCGUAAACCUCUUUUAUAAGGGAAUAAAGUGUGGGACGUGUCCCUUUUUGUAUGUAUCUUAUGAAUAAGGAUCGGCUAACUCCGUGCCAGCAGCCGCGGUAAUACGGAGGAUCCGAGCGUUAUCCGGAUUUAUUGGGUUUAAAGGGUGCGUAGGCGGCCUUUUAAGUCAGCGGUGAAAGUCCGUGGCUCAACCAGAGAAUUGCCGUUGAUACUGGGAGGCUUGAGUGUGUGAGAGGCAGGCGGAAUGCGUGGUGUAGCGGUGAAAUGCUUAGAGAUCACGCAGAACACCGAUUGCGAAGGCAGCCUGCCAAGCCAAGACUGACGCUGAGGCACGAAAGCGUGGGGAUCAAACAGGAUUAGAUACCCUUGUAGUC